AACGAACGCUGGCGGCAUGCCUAACACAUGCAAGUCGAACGGGACCUUCCGGUCUAGUUGCGCACGUGUGCGUACCGCGUGGUAACCUGCCCUUAGGUUCGGAAUCACUCCCCGUAAGGUGUGCUCAUACCGGUUAAUGUCUUCGGACCUAAGAUUUCUCGCCUUUGGAUGGGCCCUCGUUGGAUUAGCUAGUUGGUAGGGUAAAAGCCUACCAAGGCGACGUUGCAUAGCUGGUCUGUGAGGAGGACCAUCCACACUGGGAAUGAGACACGGACCAGACUGGGAGGGAGGGGAGGAGUGGGGAAUAUUGGACAAUGGGCGAAAGCGUGAUCAAGCAAUGCGGGGGGAGUGAGGAAGGGCGUAGGGUUGUAAAGCUCUCUGACACGGGAUGAGAAUGACAGUACCGGGAGAAGAAGCACCGGCUAACUACGUG
rnacentral:rRNA from 1 species